rnacentral:rRNA from 1 species
AGUGAAAGACGGUCUUGCUGUCACUUAUAGAUGGAUCCGCGCUGCAUUAGCUAGUUGGUAAGGUAACGGCUUACCAAGGCAACGAUGCAUAGCCGACCUGAGAGGGUGAUCGGCCACACUGGAACUGAGACACGGUCCAGACUCCUACGGGAGGCAGCAGUAGGGAAUCUUCCGCAAUGGGCGAAAGCCUGACGGAGCAACGCCGCGUGAGUGAUGAAGGUCUUCGGAUCGUAAAACUCUGUUAUUAGGGAAGAACAUAUGUGUAAGUAACUGUGCACAUCUUGACGGUACCUAAUCAGAAAGCCACGGCUAACUACGUGCCAGCAGCCGCGGUAAUACGUAGGUGGCAAGCGUUAUCCGGAAUUAUUGGGCGUAAAGCGCGCGUAGGCGGUUUUUUAAGUCUGAUGUGAAAGCCCACGGCUCAACCGUGGAGGGUCAUUGGAAACUGGAAAACUUGAGUGCAGAAGAGGAAAGUGGAAUUCCAUGUGUAGCGGUGAAAUGCGCAGAGAUAUGGAGGAACACCAGUGGCGAAGGCGACUUUCUGGUCUGUAACUGACGCUGAUGUGCGAAAGCGUGGGGAUCAAACAGGAUUAGAUACCCUGGUAGUCCACGCCGUAAACGAUGAGUGCUAAGUGUUAGGGGGUUUCCGCCCCUUAGUGCUGCAGCUAACGCAUUAAGCACUCCGCCUGGGGAGUACGACCGCAAGGUUGAAACUCAAAGGAAUUGACGGGGACCCGCACAAGCGGUGGAGCAUGUGGUUUAAUUCGAAGCAACGCGAAGAACCUUACCAAAUCUUGACAUCCUUUGACAACUCUAGAGAUAGAGCCUUCCCCUUCGGGGGACAAAGUGACAGGUGGUGCAUGGUUGUCGUCAGCUCGUGUCGUGAGAUGUUGGGUUAAGUCCCGCAACGAGCGCAACCCUUAAGCUUAGUUGCCAUCAUUAAGUUGGGCACUCUAAGUUGACUGCCGGUGACAAACCGGAGGAAGGUGGGGAUGACGUCAAAUCAUCAUGCCCCUUAUGAUUUGGGCUACACACGUGCUACAAUGGACAAUACAAAGGGCAGCGAAACCGCGAGGUCAAGCAAAUCCCAUAAAGUUGUUCUCAGUUCGGAUUGUAGUCUGCAACUCGACUACAUGAAGCUGGAAUCGCUAGUAAUCGUAGAUCAGCAUGCUACGGUGAAUACGUUCCCGGGUCUUGUACACACCGCCCGUCACACCACGAGAGUUUGUAACACCCGAAGCCGGUGGAGUAACCUUUUAGGAGCUAGCCGUCGAAGGUGGGACAAAUGAUUGGGGUGAAGUCGUAACAAGGUAGCCGUAUCGGAAGGUGCGGCUGGAUCACCU